rnacentral:lncRNA from 1 species
UCCGCAGAUACACCGCCUCUCAGAAGACAACGCACACAUUGAGGUAGAGAUGGCUAAAGGAGUCAAGAACAUGUUUAGAGGUUGAACAUUAAAAUCUCUCUGCCAUAGAUACAGAACAGUUACGCUGGUUGUUGGUCCCGAACAAUCCAAGAUCUGAACUUUCUAUGUUAUAACAUAAACAAUAGUUAGGAUGUAAAGAGAAUUCUAGCAAGAGAAAGAAUAUGAAGAAAGAGCUAGUAAUAGCAUAUGCAGCGGCAAUUAAAUCUAGGACACGUAUUACACUUACUAACUCUCUCAAACACAACAAUGGUGUGCUGGUGGUUGAAAAAUAACAAAAGUACUGAGAAUGCAAGCAACAUACAGAACAUGAAGAAGGAGCUGCAAUUCCAAUUACAUAAGGUUUCCAAAAUUCAGAACUCAAUAUCCAAACCAGGCAAUCAGAUACUAAGUAUUUCUAUUUAAUAUGAAAGAUUAUGCACCAAUCCGAUUUGAAUCAACGAUUUUUUAAAGGUAUAUGAAGCAGAAGCAGAAGCAGAAUCAGAGAAUAGAGAGUGACCAUGUUGAGCAAUGAAUCUGACAUUAACCGAGAUCGAUGCAGAGAUUCCUCACUAACACUCAUCUCACACAACCUUUUCCCCUCCAUUGUUGGUUGACCGUAUCAGAGCUUGCUGUCGAGGACGAUGAACCCUAGAAACAAACGUGGACAGUCAUGAAGAAGGCGAAGGUCAGAAGGGGAAGGAAAGAAAGGAAGAAGACAUAACCUCAGGUCGAAGAUUCACAAAGCAAUUCUCAUGUGGAUUGAAGAUAUCGAAACUCAUAGCUGUAUCAGAGAUCGAAAGAGAAGAUUGUUUUAAUUGCGGAAGAACAGCAAACCCUAGAAAAUCUUGCGGCUGUCUCUCUAUCUUCGGCCUGAAUCACGUGAAAACACAUAAUUGAAACGAUGAGUUUUUCUCUUCGGACACGUGUCGCUACAACAUAAAACGAAUUAUGUAUGUGGCAUCCUAUGUGGACACUCUAGGAGAGAAAGAAACACUACUUUAUAUAUAAAGAUGUUCAUAAUAUAUACCCACUCCGUUUUUUAAUAUAAGUCGUUUUACAGCUAUGCACGUAGAUUAAGAAAACCAUUAAUUUCUUAUAUUUUCUAAACAAAAACAUCAUUAAUUAUUUACCUAACCACAAUUCAACCAAUAGAAAAAUAGAAGAUAUAUUACCAUUGGUUAUACAACAUUAAUUAUUAAUAAAUUUUACAUAGAAAACCGAAAACGACAUAUAAUUUGGAACAAAUUUUUUUCUCUAAAACGACUUAUAUUAAAAAACGGAGGGAGUACUAUUUUAUGAGUUUUUUAAUAUAAAACUCACAUACAAGAUUCCACAUAUUAUACAAAGAUUUUAUUUAGAAGGAAAAUUUGCAAAAAGAUUCACUAAUGUUUAGCCAAUUUUAUUUUCACUUAAUUUUAUUUUAAAUUUUUUAUUUUCAUGUGUUAUUUUGAAAAAAAAUGUCUUUUAAUGUUAACUAACGGUAUCUUUACAUAUCUAUCAAGUAUAUUUAUAUACUUUUACAUACACAUAUACACAUUGACGUAAGUACAUAUAUAACUAAAUCUUCACUACAUGUGAGGAUUCUAAAUUUCUUGAAAGUUUGAAAUAUUAUUUUUAUUUCUUCCUUUCACCAUGACCAAAUUGUACAUAAAUAAAUAAAAUUCUUCGACUAUUAUCUAGAUUUGAUUUGAUUUUGCAUGCGUUUAGAAAUUAUAAUAUAAAACCAUUGAUUCGACACUAGGACUCACUAAAAUUCAUCUAACAUGAAAUUAAACAAAUAAUAAUAGUUUUUGUUUAUCACCGGAAAAAUCAAAAAUCUCAAGCAUUUUAACCGAACAAACCAAAAUAAAUAUGAAUUUAAAAUGGUGGUUAUAUUUUUAGGAGAUUAAAAAAAACUUAAAACCAAACUGAUAUCUAGAUUAAAUAGAUCUCAUGUCUUUUUAUCUUAAAAAUAAUAAAAUUAAUAAUUUCAUUAUUACCUGGUAGUUUAGUAAUCGUGCAGCCUCCAUUAACUAAGCCGUACAUAUAGCUAAAUGUACACCAAAUAACCCUUCUCUGCAAGAGGCCAUAGGCUUCUUCUUACUUCGCCUCGAAACUAUCUCCAAGACAGUAUUAAAUUACCAGUUUUAUAGUUCACAUCUAAUGAUUUUAUCAUAUCAAAGAUUCAAAACCCUUAAUCCUGUCUCCCCAAACAAGCAACAGUGAGUGCACGCUUACGAGGCAGUUGCUCCCCCACACUUCCUCCACUCUCCAACCUACACGUGUCACACCCUUUCCACAUGCACAAACUCACACACAAAUUCAUGCAUGCGUAUAUAAUACAUUCUUAUUGUUAGAGCCUUAGAGGAAAGAAGAGAGAGAUAUGGAGAGAACAGAAGCCUUGACGUCAUCGUUUAUAUGGAGGCCAAACGCAAACGCAGAGAUAACUCUGAGCUGUCCAAGAUGUGGAUCCUCCAACACGAAGUUUUGUUACUACAACAACUAUAGCCUCACUCAGCCACGCUACUUCUGCAAAGGCUGCCGCAGAUAUUGGACCAAAGGUGGCUCCCUCCGGAACGUGCCCGUAGGCGGGGGGUGCCGCAAAUCCCGCCGUCCCAAAUCCUCCUCGGGUAACACUAAAACCGGCCUAACCGCUAAUUCUUACAAUUCCGGUGGUGGCUCACCAAACAUAGAUCUUGCUCUUGUUUACGCCAAUUUCUUGAACCCAAAGCCUGACGAACACAAACGUCAAGAAAACUGCGACACAGAUUUUCUAGUCGAUGAACCUGCCGGCGCUUCGAUGGAACCCUUAUGGAGGGACAUCGGUAAUGGACAUCAUCAUCAUCACUAUGAACAUCAGGUGGAACACAUUGUGCAGGAAUGUGGUUACAAUGAGUUGCCUCCAUUUCCUGGUGAAGAGCUUCUGUCUAUUGACACUAGUGGUGUUUGGUCUGAAGCUUUAUUGAAUGGUCAUAACCAUGUAGACGUUGGUGGUGUGACUCCGGCUCAGAUUGUUCAGGAUCCGGUGGUUCAUUUUGCUGACAAAUCCAAUGACUCCACCAACCUCUUGUUUGGAAGUUGGAGCCCUUUUGAAUUCUCAGUCGAUGGAUGAUCUUUAUUUGCAUAAAAGUUUGUAUUGUACUUAUUAUACAUACAUACACAUAUGAAUAUAUUAUGGAUCAUUUACGAAAAUAAGAAAGUUCAUAAUUUAAGUACAAAUUUAAGGGGUAAUAUGUAUACAUAGGCUAUCCUUUUUUGUGCUGUGAUUCUCGACCUAUAUAUAUGAUGCUAUAAUUAGUCGUUAUCAAGAUUUGCCCAAGAAGCCCACGUGGGAGGUCCUAAUAUUUGGAUUCGACUGAGAUUUGCUGUUACUUCAACUUAUAAUUCACUGAAAGUGAGACGCACGUAUGUGUUAGACUUGUAGUAUCUCUGGCCUUUGUGUGUGUCCUUGUAGAUCCUUCUCUAAAAGAGAGUGUCAGAGAAAGAGCAUAUUUGUUCCUACUUUUCCUUUCACUCCUUUCUACCAUUAUUAAUCUCUUAUUUCCCAGACUUAUAUUAUAGUUCGGCUUUAAGUCAAUGCCACCCAUUGAAAAGAUUAAUGUGUAUGAUUUAUACGAUUUUUAACCUUACAUACAUAUUCAAUGGAAUAUAUUAUUCCUAGCAUUUUUUCGAGAUAUGUGUCAUGUAUAUGUAGAUCCAACACAUUUAUAUUGAUAAUGUAAAAUGUAACACCAUAACCAACUCGUUACCCUAGUCGUGAAUCUUAUUCAACAUGUGACUUGUCACUUCUCACAAGUUAGCCCGUCUAACUCGUGGUUUAUCAAGGAUUGAUUACUCCGUCGUCUACAUGUGAGAUCUAAUCCUAUAGGGAUUGGAAAUUUUAUAGCUCUUACUACGUACCAUGCGAUAACUCAUAUGAGUACGUACGUAGGGAAAUUAAAAGAAGAAACAAAAUUUAAAGAGAGAAAAGAAGAAGAGAAUUUAUAUAUUUGGUGAACAGAAGUAGAGGAAAUUACGCAAGUUGUGUUCAGAGGUAAAUAAGUUAACUUGGAAAGUUGUCUUCAGAGGAAAGUUGUUUAAUGUCGAGCUUCUUGCGUCACACACGUUCCCAUACAUCUCCACUUGAUCCAAGAAAAUAGUAAACUCGUAUGACUAUGAAAAAGAGUUCUACAUUUAAAUUAAUUUUUAGCUAUAAACGAUAUUAUCAAAUAUUGCCUACCAACUGACCAAGCCUGCUCAAAGUGAGAUAAGAGUUCUUGUAAUCUGUAUAUAAAUAGUAAGCAUCGAAAGGUAAUUGGAAAAGAUAUUUUAGUUAAAAUUAAAGAUGUUAGCAUCUUUUUAUCAUUUGAUUUACCAUCUUCAUAAGAAACAUUUGACUUUUCAUCUGAUAUAUGUAAUAAUCUAUUAUACAAUCUAACUAGCUACAACAUAUGAGUUCAUGGACAAUGGAUUUACUGUAAUAAAAAUUAUGCUUAACUGUUUAACAGUUUUACCUACACAUUACAUCUAUUCAUCAUACACCAGAUCUGAUUUACAAGAAUGACUCUAAGGGCAACACAUUAGUAACUCUAGUAAACUUGUAUCCAUGUAUGUAGUAAAUGUUCUAUUGAAGAAUUGAACUUUAUAGAUGGUAUAAAAUGAUUAUCGUUUCCACAAAAACAACAUAAUUAUAUAUGAAACAUAAUUUAAUAUUAUAUCAAGAAAACUAUAUAACUAGUAAUAUUCAUAUCAAACGAGAAAUAGAACUAAUCACCAUUAAAUUGUAUAACAUGUUCUCAUAUAUGUUGUAAUACUUCUGAAUUUUAUUUCAUUUGAUAAAAGAUUUUACUUCUGAAUUUUUAUAUAUGUUGUAAUAUUUCUGAGAUUUAAAGAUCAAAUUAAUAACCAGUAAUAGUAGUGCAUAAAAAGAAACUAUUGAAAAGUCUCUAAGUUGAGGCUUCGCUUUCCAUGCAUAGAGCGAAGACACGUUAAAUUUGAUUUUCAAGUCAUAUUCUUAAUUAUUUUUCCGUAAAAUAGAUAGUUAAGUUUCCGUUGAAACAUUGAGAAUGAAGGGUGAGGUUACGCGUUCACACUAAAGUCGUAAUUUGGCAAGCUAGUCAUAGAGUUGUAAAUAUAAAACAUAACUUCUUUAAAUUAAUACUCUAUAAAUUAAUAUACACUAAAAAUAUCUAUAAAAUAAUAUAAUUUUAUAAUCUCAAACUGAAUUUUGGUUCAAUUAGUAUAUCGAUAAAUUAAUAUCUCUAUAAAUUAAUAAAAAAAUUAUAGUUUUGGUGUAGUCCCAACAUUAUUAAUUUAUAAAGGUUUCACUGUACUAGAAUAUGACAUGCGUCUUGCGCAGGGUAGUUUAUUUGUAUAUAUUAUCGGUAAUUUUUUUAUAUAUAUUUGAUCAUUUUAUUUAUGCAUAUACAAUAUUUUUUGUUGUUGUUAUAUAAUUUCUUUUCGAUGGACCGGAUCAAUUUUUAUUAAAAAUUAUGAAACAAAACUAUAAUUAAUAUAUCAUGGAUUGACCAGAUUGGACAUUAAACAAAUUAUGACACAAAAACUUUACUUUUUUCCACCGAACACAUUAUUGAAAAAGUGAGCAGUAUUGUUUACACAGUUAAAUUACUUUUACAUUUAUUUUCCAUAUGGUUUUGAAAGAUUUCAGAUCAACCAUCGAACUAAUACAUGUUAUUUUAAUGUUUUUAGUCGUAUGCUUAAGGAAAACUUAUAUUUUUGUAAUUUACAUUCGUUUUAAAAAAAAAAUCAGAAUAUAACAUAUACAAAAAUAUAACAUAUAAAAAAAUAUAACAUAUAAGGUUGAGAAAUUGCCACAAAUACCACAUUCAUAGUACCACUUUUCAUGUUAACACUAACCACUUUUACCCUCACUUUUAAUGAAGGGUAAAAUACAAUUAUACCCUUAGGGUUAACUAAUCUAGACUUAGUGUUUAGAGUUGGGGUAGGGUUUUUGGAAUGUGAAAUUUAUGAUUCUAAUAAAUAUAUAAAAACUUAAAAAAUAUAUAAAAAUUUUUAGAAAAUAGUUUCAAACAUAAUUUUCGUUUUUCAAAAAAAAUUUGAAAAAAAAAAUUCAAAAUUUUUCUUUUGUAGAAAAGUUCGAAUUUGAAAAAUUAUAAUUCGAAAACNNNNNNNNNNNNNNNNNNNNCUAUAUGUAAACCGGACUAAACCAGGUAUGAAACCAAACCUUAAUUAAUAAUUAAACCUUAGACGUCUAAAAUACUUAAGCUUCGGGAAACUUAAAUGUCUAAAUAACUAUGAAAGCCCUAGAUUUAUAAAAGACAAGUUACGUAACUAAACAUAAACAUAGAUCUCAAGGUUUUUUGCUUAAGGUUAGAACUCUCUAGUCUCUACUCUUUCCAAUCUCGUUUGUGCUUAUUCUUCUAAUAGAUUCCUGUGUUACUUUGUCACAGAUUAAUAGCCACCUUAUUGCGCCAUGGCGUAAGGCGCAAGGCUAGGACCGUCUCGCCUUGGUGCGCCAUGCGCCAUUUUAAACACAACUUGAGCUGUAGAAUUGUAUAUGCAAGGCAAGAUCUCGUCUAGAGCCGUGUUGCUUGCGGCUUUCUCUACUAAUACACUCCGUGCUACACAUGUGUCUGUAGUUGCACUAAUGCUCAAAGAAGCAAAUUAAAGUUUUUCAAUGAAAGAAGAAGCUAAUGAACUGUCAUGAGACAUAAUUUUGUAACAGAAGGAGUGUUCCGCUCAAGAUGAAUGUAACAGUCACCAAAAUUCAUCCACAAAUCACAUGGCUGCUGAAGAGGAAAAGAUUCAGAUAGUUCUUACUUAUGAAAGCGCAUAAAGAACGUUUCAAAGUUUAUACUAACGUGUAAACAAUGAUCUGCAUCCCAUAAAUUGAAGAAACUGGAAGAGAAUAUGAUUAGAAAAGAUCAUUAGAGUUAAUACAGUAGUUGACAGUUGAGAAACAUUUGGUGGAAGAUGAUGAGCUUGUGGGAGUUAUACAACAGCUCGACUUUCAAAACUUAAAAACAUUUCAAAAGAUACAGAUUAGUGACUUACGGAGACCACGACAUGUCAAGGUAAGCAUAGUGAUUGAAUCUAUGAUAUGCGCCACCCUCUUGCAGUAAAGAUGAUGACCUGUUACACAUGUUUUCAAGAUAUUAACAUAAGGCUUCUGUAACAAAUAGUUUUGGAGUUUUCUUACACGGAGAAAGUUUCUUAUGUCACUGGAACUAAGAGAUCAAUCUGCUUCAGUUUCACUCGUUUCACAAAUCUGAGCAGCCGCACAAACAACUGCCAGCCUUCAAAUCGGAGAAAAAAUACUAUAAGUAUACUAAGAGAGAUAUAGAAGAUGGUUUUGAGAGGAUGAAAAUAUACCUUUUUAUAUCCGCAGAUACACCGCCUCUCAGAAGACAACGCACACAUUGAGGUAGAGAUGGCUAAAGGAGUCAAGAACAUGUUUAGAGGUUGAACAUUAAAAUCUCUCUGCCAUAGAUACAGAACAGUUACGCUGGUUGUUGGUCCCGAACAAUCCAAGAUCUGAACUUUCUAUGUUAUAACAUAAACAAUAGUUAGGAUGUAAAGAGAAUUCUAGCAAGAGAAAGAAUAUGAAGAAAGAGCUAGUAAUAGCAUAUGCAGCGGCAAUUAAAUCUAGGACACGUAUUACACUUACUAACUCUCUCAAACACAACAAUGGUGUGCUGGUGGUUGAAAAAUAACAAAAGUACUGAGAAUGCAAGCAACAUACAGAACAUGAAGAAGGAGCUGCAAUUCCAAUUACAUAAGGUUUCCAAAAUUCAGAACUCAAUAUCCAAACCAGGCAAUCAGAUACUAAGUAUUUCUAUUUAAUAUGAAAGAUUAUGCACCAAUCCGAUUUGAAUCAACGAUUUUUUAAAGGUAUAUGAAGCAGAAGCAGAAGCAGAAUCAGAGAAUAGAGAGUGACCAUGUUGAGCAAUGAAUCUGACAUUAACCGAGAUCGAUGCAGAGAUUCCUCACUAACACUCAUCUCAC